rnacentral:hammerhead_ribozyme from 1 species
AAGCGAAAUCCCGCCGGGCGCGGGAUAGCCGGAGGGUGGUGCCUCCGGCCUGAUGAGCAGCCUUGA